rnacentral:lncRNA from 1 species
GCUGACCCUGUGAAUUCCCGGGCUGGGCCACAGGGUUUGUUAUCUGAAGAGGGAAAGCUAUUCCCCCUUUCCUCCUGACUUGGAAAAAACGAAGAUCUCUGACUGGCUCACCUCAAGUCAUGGGCCAUUUCCAGGACUAAUCUAACCUGUUUUUAGGAGGUGCUCUACUGUGACUGGUCAAUGCUGGGUAUGAUCCCACCCUUCUGGCUGGAGUGGCAAGAUCCUUUUUCAUCAAGAUCACUGAAGGAGGAACAGUGGGGCAGGACACCACAGCUUCAUAAAAGCUGUAUCGUACUCUGUGAGGUCUUCUGUGACUUGGUGUUUCCCCCACUUAAAGUUACAUUUCUAAGAGUCAUCCUUGUUAUGGUUCAAGGCCAUGUUUCCUGUUUUUCUCUGCCGGAGCAAGCCCCA